AUUGAACGCUGGCGGCAGGCCUAACACAUGCAAGUCGAGCGGAUGACGGGAGCUUGCUCCUUGAUUCAGCGGCGGACGGGUGAGUAAUGCCUAGGAAUCUGCCUGGUAGUGGGGGACAACGUUUCGAAAGGAACGCUAAUACCGCAUACGUCCUACGGGAGAAAGCAGGGGACCCUCGGGCCUUGCGCUAUCAGAUGAGCCUAGGUCGGAUUAGCUAGUAGGUGAGGUAAUGGCUCACCUAGGCGACGAUCCGUAACUGGUCUGAGAGGAUGAUCAGUCACACUGGAACUGAGACACGGUCCAGACUCCUACGGGAGGCAGCAGUGGGGAAUAUUGGACAAUGGGCGAAAGCCUGAUCCAGCCAUGCCGCGUGUGUGAAGAAGGUCUUCGGAUUGUAAAGCACUUUAAGUUGGGAGGAAGGGUUGUACGUUAAUACCGUGCAAUUUUGACGUUACCGACAGAAUAAGCACCGGCUAACUCUGUGCCAGCAGCCGCCGUAA
rnacentral:rRNA from 1 species